rnacentral:rRNA from 1 species
UACGUAGGGGGCAAGCGUUGUCCGGAAUCAUUGGGCGUAAAGAGCGUGUAGGCGGCCAGAUAAGUCCGCUGUGAAAACUCGAGGCUCAACUUCGAGCUGUCGGUGGAAACUAUUUGGCUAGAGUCCGGAAGAGGAGAGUGGAAUUCCUGGUGUAGCGGUGAAAUGCGCAGAUAUCAGGAAGAACACCCGUGGCGAAGGCGGCUCUCUGGUACGGAACUGACGCUGAGGUGCGAAAGCGUGGGGAGCAAACAGG